GGACUACCCGGGUAUCUAAUCCUGUUCGCUCCCCUAGCUUUCGCACCUGAGCGUCAGUUCAUCGCCAGGACACUGCCUUCGCCUUUGGUGUUCUUCCGGAUCUCUACGCAUUUCACCACUCCACCCGGAAUUCCGUGUCCCUCUCGAUGCCUCAAGUCCAUCCGUUUUGAAGGCACUCUCUCGGUUUAGCCGACAGCUGUCACCCCCAACGCGAUGGACCGCCUGCGUGCGCUUUACGCCCAGUAACUCCGGACAACGCUCGCCCCCUACGUAUUACCGCGGCGGCUGGCAC
rnacentral:rRNA from 1 species